GGCCGUCUGAGUUGAGAGCCCACGGCUUGGCACAGAAUGGAGACAACAGCUUGUACUUUCUGUCAGCAGGACCGUGAAGAUUUAGGAGAACCCUUUGCAGGUGCGGAGGCCGCCCUACUUGUUGUCCUUGCCUGUCCAGUGGCUUCCUGAUCCCACGGCCUGGGCAGCUUGGUUCUGGGACCAGUGGCUUCCCCAUGCAGUAGCUUCUUGCGGGCCUUGGACCAGUAAAGCAGCUCUUGGAGGUUCAAUCUUUCAGCUUCCUAACAAUUCUGUGCCUCAGAUGCCCUCGGAUAAACCCGCUUCCACCCAAACUGAGCAGAAGAGUUCCAUUCUCUGCCCUGCCCCCCGCAAACUGCCCGUCGCUGUCUGUCUUAGAAAGGACGCCAUGGCCAGGACUUGUCAUGAACUGCUUCUCCACGGCAGGUGCCUGAUGCAGCAGUUGUUACAGGGAACUUCUCAAGGAAAACACUGCGCAGUCAAGUACAGGUGCCUUUUAAAACAUCCUCCUGACCUGUGGACGCUGGAACCCACAGGUGCGGGACCCACAGAUGCACGGCCAGCUAGCUGCAUUUCGGUGUAGCCAAGCCAGCUGUCUGGAAAGUGUCCUCCAAGGUUGUGUGGAAAAUAAGCUCUUCUACAGACCUUCCUUAAUGCAUUUACCAAUCUUUGAAGAGAAAUCACUUCUUAUGAAAACUUUCCUCUGGUAAUAGCAUGUUCCUGAGCCCUACCCAGACCUACAAAAGCCAUACCUCUGCAGGCUGGCGAGGACGCCCUCCACUCUGACUUUUGCUGGCCUGAGAAAUCACACACCUAACAGGUUUUAGGGACUGAUGCUGCCAGCCUCUAGAGUUGUGCUUUUGUUUGUUUUCUUCUGGUACUAGAAAUAGCACCCAGGGCC